rnacentral:rRNA from 1 species
UCGAGCGGACAGAAGGGAGCUUGCUCCCGGAUGUUAGCGGCGGACGGGUGAGUAACACGUGGGUAACCUGCCUGUAAGACUGGGAUAACUCCGGGAAACCGGAGCUAAUACCGGAUAGUUCCUUGAACCGCAUGGUUCAAGGAUGAAAGACGGUUUCGGCUGUCACUUACAGAUGGACCCGCGGCGCAUUAGCUAGUUGGUGAGGUAACGGCUCACCAAGGCGACGAUGCGUAGCCGACCUGAGAGGGUGAUCGGCCACACUGGGACUGAGACACGGCCCAGACUCCUACGGGAGGCAGCAGUAGGGAAUCUUCCGCAAUGGACGAAAGUCUGACGGAGCAACGCCGCGUGAGUGAUGAAGGUUUUCGGAUCGUAAAGCUCUGUUGUUAGGGAAGAACAAGUGCAAGAGUAACUGCUUGCACCUUGACGGUACCUAACCAGAAAGCCACGGCUAACUACGUGCCAGCAGCCGCGGUAAUACGUAGGUGGCAAGCGUUGUCCGGAAUUAUUGGGCGUAAAGGGCUCGCAGGCGGUUUCUUAAGUCUGAUGUGAAAGCCCCCGGCUCA